rnacentral:rRNA from 1 species
UGGGUCCUACGGGAGGCAGCAGUGGGGGAUAUUGCACAAUGGGGGGAACCCUGAUGCAGCGACGCCGCGUGGGUGAAGGAGCGUUUCGGCGCGUAAAGCCCUAUCGGCAGGGAAGAAGAUGACGGUACCUGACCAAGAAGCCCCGGCUAACUACGUGCCAGCAGCCGCGGGAAUACGUAGGGGGCAAGCGUUAUCCGGAUUUACUGGGUGUAAAGGGGGCGCAGACGGCAAUGCAAGCCAGGAGUGAAAGCCCGGGGCCCAACCCCGGGACUGCGCUUGGAAGUGCAUGGCUGGAGGACAGGAGG